AUUCCUUUGGUUUUGGGGAAGAUAGAAAGCGAGUGGCACUUAUAAUACAUGCUAAGGGGGCAGAUUAUAAAUUGAUUGUGAGGAUAGGUUCUGAUCAAUAGGUAUAUUUAUGUCCUGUACAGGUGAGUAAUGCUCUGGAUUUAACCAAUUGAGCCCAUGAAUAAAUAUUUUGGAUUUUAAUCCAAUUAAAAUCAAGCGGAUUGAUAGACCAGAGUCGUAUUAGGUUCAGGGAAACCUUGCCCAAGAUGCGUAGCCAAAGGCCACACUUCCACUGAAACAAGGGGAAGACCCUUAUUAGGGGCAGCAGUAGAGAAUUUUGUGCAAUGUAUGGAAGUAUGACACAGAGAUGUCGCAUAAUUUUGUUUUGACAGUUCCAAGUUAUUUGGGAAAGAAGACCGUCUAAUAUACGUGCCAGCAGACGCGGUUAUACGUAAGGUCUAAGUUUUUAUUAGUAAAGGCGUAAAGGGUGUGUAGGCAGAGAUUUCCGGAGUUUAAAGGGGUAAAUGGAACUAUUAUGUAGCGGUAGAAUGUUUUAAUAUAAAAUUGGAACACCGAUGGCGAAAGCGAUUUACUGGUUAAAUUUGACGCUGAGACACGAAAGUAAGGGGAGCAAACAGGAUUAGAUACCCUGGUAGUCCUUACCGUAAAUUAUGAAUUAUAAGGCCACUAGUUAAUUUUUGGGUUUAAUUUGGAUAAAAUCUAAUUAAGUGCAAAUUAAAUUUAUUUUUAGUGGCCGACAAAAACUUAAGAAAUACCGCCUGAAGAGUACGGUCGCAAGAUUAAAAUUCAAAAAAUUUGGCGGUUCACUAAGCCAAUUAGAGGAGCGUGUCGUUUAAUUCGAUAAUCCGCGAUUAACCUUACCAAAACUUGAAUAUUUAAUGAUUUAUUAUCACCUUUUGGGGGUAUGUAAGGCCAAUCUUAAGAUAGGCCCUUAAAUACAGGUAUUGCAUGGCCGUCGUCAGUUCGUGUUGUGAAAGAAAUAGAACGAACUUAAUCCUUAAUAAAUUUAUUUUAGUUUUUUAUCAUUAAAAAAGAUUUUGUUUAAGGAUGACGUCAGGUCUUUAUGAUCCGAAUGUUUUGGGCGGCAUAUGCGCUACAAUUUUCUAUAUAAAGAGAUUUUAAGUAAGCUUUAAAGUAGAAGUUCGAAUGGCUCUUUGAAAUAGGGGCAUGAAGUUGGAUUUAAUAGUAAUCGGAAAGUAGAGCGUUCCGGUGAAUACGGCUCUAGUGUUCGUACAAAUCGCCCGUCACCUCUGCCAAGUAAAUAAUCUUAAAGUAUUUAGUUUGAAUUAAGGUUAAAAGACUAAAUGAGGUCUCUAAUUAUUGUUAAAUUUUAAAUAAAUAGCUUAUUUAUUAAAAUAAAAUAAUAUUAAUUAGGAAUCAAAAGAAAUUUAUUGUUUUGAAAGCUUUAAUUUAGGGCUGGAUAUCUCAGAAAAUUUAUAAGGUUGAGGAAGUCGUAACACAGCGAGGGUAUUGGAAAAUGUCCUCGGAUUAAU
rnacentral:rRNA from 1 species